GCUUAAGGCUAAGGAUAUCUGGUGAAUAAGGAUCCUGACAUUAAACAAGCUUGGAUAUGAAGAACAACCGCCACUUCAUGCUAUUAGGGUUUUUAUCAGGUGCAUUGUGCGCCACUUUACGCCCUUGUUAAUGACACACAAUGAGACACUUUUCGCUCAGGUUGCUUGCACACAAAGUGAGACUUUGCACGCACAAUGAUGAGCACGAAAUAUGUCAAGCAUAAUGUUUUGUUAGCGUAAUGCAGGUAGCACAAUAUAUACCUUGGGGGCGAAGUGUUACCCAAGCGAAAAGCCAUCCACAUGUUCAAAGUCUUACUUUGCCCUAGUAUUAAGGGUGAAAAACUAAUAAGUUUUAUAUGAAUCUUUGACGAGUUCACCAAGCGUUCAGAGGUUAGACUGUAUGUCGCAUUCAAUAAAUGAAGCUAACUCCCCAGCGGGUUCUAGAUGCCCCUUUUAACAUUUUGGACUGAUAUGCAUGUUAUCGAAUGUUUAUACCCUCUAAGAUGACUAUUAGCUAUUAUGUGCGUUAA
rnacentral:lncRNA from 1 species